CCGGAAGUAAGUCAAUAUUUCAUGAAUGACUGGGCCCGACCGUGGAAAAGCAGACCAUGUGGCAGACAAUCGUGUGUCGUCAUGGCGUUUGAGGAGGGACGGCCCAACAUGGAAGUGACUGGCUGACCACCAUCAUCUUCAGCGGCUGCUAUAGAAAGUACAUACAGGUACAUGUCUGCAGCAUGGCAUUCAGGACAAUGGCAUGAACAGAGUGAGCCCUCUUCUCAGUCAUACAGUCUCUUUGUCUUCGUGGGCGGAAGCGGGGCUGGUAGCAUACACACAGAGUGCAGAAGAGUGUAAAGUUGUGAAAUUAAAUUAGUAGACUGCAAUGGAUUGUCAUAUAUUUUUUUAUAUUUUUUCAUUGUACUUUUCUUAAAAGUAAUGUUAAAAUCUCGUCCUGUCUUGCAAAACACUCCUGAAAAAUGUGUUGCAAAAAAA